CCUACGGGGGGCAGCAGUGGGGAAUAUUGGACAAUGGGCGAAAGCCUGAUCCAGCCAUGCCGCGUGUGUGAAGAAGGCCUUCGGGUUGUAAAGCACUUUCAGUGGGGAAGAAAGCCUUGGGGCUAAUACCCUCGAGGAAGGACAUCACCCACAGAAGAAGCACCGGCUAACUCCGUGCCAGCAGCCGCGGUAAUACGGAGGGUGCGAGCGUUAAUCGGAAUUACUGGGCGUAAAGCGCGCGUAGGCGGUCUGAUAAGCCGGUUGUGAAAGCCCCGGGCUCAACCUGGGAACGGCAUCCGGAACUGGCAGGCUAGAGUGCAGGAGAGGAAGGUAGAAUUCCCGGUGUAGCGGUGAAAUGCGUAGAGAUCUGGAGGAAUACCAGUGGCGAAGGCGGCCUUCUGGACUGACACUGACGCUGAGGUGCGAAAGCGUGGGUAGCAAACAGGAUUAGAUACCCGUGUAGUC
rnacentral:rRNA from 1 species